UACGGAGGAUCCGAGCGUUAUCCGGAUUUAUUGGGUUUAAAGGGUGCGUAGGUGGAUUGGUAAGUCAGUGGUGAAAGUUUGCAGCUUAACUGUAAAAUUGCCGUUGAAACUGCCGGUCUUGAGUGCAAAUGAGGUAGGCGGAAUGCGUCGUGUAGCGGUGAAAUGCUUAGAUAUGACGCAGAACACCGAUUGCGAAGGCAGCUUUCUAAGCUGGAUCUGACGCUGAGGCACGAAAGCGUGGGUAGCGAACAGGAUUAGAUA
rnacentral:rRNA from 1 species